rnacentral:rRNA from 1 species
AGUUAAGAAUCUUGCGCAAUGGGGGCAACCCUGACGCAGCGACGCCGCGUGAAUGAUGAAGGCCUUCGGGUUGUAAAGUUCAGUAAGCAGGGAAGAAUAAGCGCCGGGUAAUAUUCGGCGUGAUGACGGUACCUGCCUAAAGCCCCGGCUAACUACGUGCCAGCAGCCGCGGUAAUACGUAUGGGGCGAGCGUUGUUCGGAAUUAUUGGGCGUAAAGGGCGUCUAGGCGGGGGAUUAAGUUAGAUGUGAAAGCUAUGGGCUCAACCCAUAAAUUGCAUCUAAGACUGGUUCUCUUGAGUCCGGGAGAGGAGAGCGGAAUUCCAGGUGUAGCGGUGAAAUGCGUAGAUAUCUGGAAGAACACCAGUGGCGAAGGCGGCUCUCUGGCCUAGGACUGACGCUGAAGCGCGAAAGCGUGGGGAGCGAACAGGAUUAGAUACCCUGGUAGUCCACGCUGUAAACGUUGUAUACUAGGUGUUAGUGGCUUGUCCACUAGUGCCGCAGCAAACGCAUUAAGUAUA